GCAGAAUUCAGUGAAUCAUCGAAUCUUUGAACGCACCUUGCGCUCCUUGGUAUUCCGAGGAGCAUGCCUGUUUGAGUGUCGUGAAA
rnacentral:rRNA from 1 species